UAGCGUAAUCACUUGUUCUUUAAUUGAGGACUAGUAUGAACGGCCCCACGAGGACUACACUGUCUCCUUUUUCUAAUCAGUGAAACUGAUCCCCUCGUGAAGAAGCGAGGAUAAAUAUAUAAGACGAGAAGACCCUAUGGAGCUUUAAACAACCGGGAUACUUGCUAAUUCUUAAUCUAUUUCCUGAAAACUAAACAAAUUAAAGCAUCUUACCCCCUAGUUUUAGGUUGGGGUGACCACGGAGAAAAAAUCAACCUCCACGCUGCAAGAAGCCUCCCAUCUUCUAAGCUAAGAGUUACAUCUCUAAGCAUCAACACAUUGACUCCCAUUGACCCAAUAAUUUGAUCAACGAACCAAGUUACCCUAGGGAUAACAGCGCAAUCUACUUUGAGAGCUCAUAUCGACAAGUAGGUUUACGACCUCGAUGUU
rnacentral:rRNA from 1 species